rnacentral:rRNA from 1 species
GUGGGGAAUAUUGGACAAUGGGCGAAAGCCUGAUCCAGCCAUGCCGCGUGUGUGAAGAAGGUCUUCGGAUUGUAAAGCACUUUAAGUUGGGAGGAAGGGCAGUAAGUUAAUACCUUGCUGUUUUGACGUUACCAACAGAAUAAGCACCGGCUAACUUCGUGCCAGCAGCCGCGGUAAUACGAAGGGUGCAAGCGUUAAUCGGAAUUACUGGGCGUAAAGCGCGCGUAGGUGGUUCAGCAAGUUGGAGGUGAAAUCCCCGGGCUCAACCUGGGAACUGCCUCCAAAACUACUGAGCUAGAGUACGGUAGAGGGUAGUGGAAUUUCCUGUGUAGCGGUGAAAUGCGUAGAUAUAGGAAGGAACACCAGUGGCGAAGGCGACUACCUGGACUGAUACUGACACUGAGGUGCGAAAGCGUGGGGAGCAAACAGGAUUAGAUACCCCUGUAGUCC